UCGGUCGCGCGCUGGAGUUGCCCGAACCUCUAUAGCCGCCUUCCCGAGCUCCUCAUCACUUCCACGCCCUCGACGCCACCUCCUCCCAACCAUUGGCACCUCCUAGCAGAGAUCUGCGUGAUGGGGUUGCUGGGGAGCGCGCGCCGUCCAGAGAGACAAGGCAGCUCCCAAGCACAGGAUCCAGCAGCGCUGGCUUCUCCUCUCCUGCGCCGCCGUUGUCCACCCAUCCUCAUCCCGUGCAAGCAUGAGCUUCUCCGGCAUCGACGGUGGCCUGCAGUCAAAGGACGACUGCGGCGGCGCUCGAUUCGAUCUACAGGAGAGAGAGAAGAUAUGAGGGAGAGAGAGAAGGAAGGAGAGGAAGGAUAAAGACAAAGGAAAGAGGAGAGGGGGGUGCGGCUGCGGACAUGAGAGGGCCACUGGAACGAGCACCGCUGGCUCGUCAUCCUACACAUCGCUCUGGAGAAAGAGGAGAGGGAGGUGCGGCGGCGGAUGGGAGAGGGUCACCGCAAGGAGCUCCGCCUGCUCGGGGUCGUUCACAUCGUGAUGGGGCAGAGAUACUUCUGUACAACCCUCAUGCCCUCAGAGUACACAAGUGGUUUCCCCUGAGGUCUCCUCCUUGCCCGGCUUGUUCAUUAAGAUCAGCAGGGGGAGGUUUAGGGUGAGACCUUCAAGAUGGAUUUGUUGUUGUUAUUAUUUCAGUUUGCGGAUAGAGGAUGUGGUUCCAGCAAGACAAAAAUGACGGUGAUGACAAGUGAGAUUUAUGUUAAGGAGUAUUAGCAGAUGCUCACAGGAUCACUGGAAGUAUAUAAAGGUAUCCACGACCAUGGUUGCUUUCCUAUCGACACAUAUAUGAAUUAUAAUUAUAAACAGUAAGAGUAGUUGUCUUUUCAUUUGUUAGAAAACAUAGUGUACAUAAUUAUAGCUGUAUGCAUCAUGUAUUUUCGUUAAAUCGCAACCUGUAAUUGUUUGAUGUCGUUAAAUGUCUAUAUUGUUUUGUUUACAUUCUUAAGUUGGCCUCCAUACUAUCUGCAUUGUCCUGGUAGCCUUGGCAGGUUAUAAUACACACAUCGAUAAUCCCGGUUCAGUUUGAGCUUUCCAUGUAAACUAAAAUAUUAGGAUCAUGACUUAACUUAAAUUAGCAGUAUAGUGUCAAUGGGCGUCAAUUGAAGCUAACAAGAUGUUGUUUACUAAAGAACAGCCCCUUGCUACUUGCACAGUACGUGGAAAAACACCCUAAAUAGAUUAAAGAAAUCAUACUUGACCGUGAUUACAUUUGGUUGACGCUUACAUGUAUUUCCCAUCAGUAGACCAAGUGGGUAAUCUUCUAUUUCAAGUCCAAGCUUUCAAUGCAUUUUCUCUUUUUUUUCAUGUCCCAGUGAUGAUUUGCAGGGCCGAAUUAUGCCAUUGUUGAUGGUGCACAGGUCUGUUGCAUGGUAAACCCAGUAUUGGCCGUCCUUUCAAGCUCCUUUGUUCAUCCUAGAGAAAAAACUGGAAAAUACAUAUGAACUAUAUUUUAAUCUUUCUAUAGUGCAUUGCUACGAUUACAUAUAUGGAUACAUCAUUUCGAUGUGUCAGGAGACCUAAAGCCUUUUAAGAGUUAACCGCCAAACUGGGGACUGGUGUCAUAAUUGCAGAUGGGCUUUGUUCAGUUAUUUUUUUGGGGCCUAGAACGAUGAUGUUUGCAGAUGGGCUUUAUUCUGUCAUAAGAGCUUAUCGAUCCAGCUUGCAUA